AUUAGCCUGUGCAGACUGCACCUUCAUUAAGUUCUAUUAAAUUGUCAUCCCAGAUUAGCCUGUGCAGACUGCACCUACAUUAAGUUCUAUUAAAUUGUCAUCCCAGAUUAGCCUGUGCAGACUGCACAUACAUUGAGCCCUAUUAAAGUGUCAUCCCAUAUUAGCCUGUGCAGACUGCACAUACAUUAAGCCCUAUUAAAGUGUCAUCUCAGAUUAGCCUGUGCAGACUGCACAUACAUUAAGUCCUAUUAAAGUGUCAUCCCAGAUUAGCCUGUGCAGACUGCACAUACAUUAAGUCCUAUUAAAGUGUCAUCCCAGAUUAGCCUGUGCAGACUGCACAUACAUUAAGCCCUAUUUUCCGAGAAUAAGGCUCAUAUACUACAGUUAACAUCAGUAUUUAAUGUGACUGAAAUGUUCCUAGCAUCAAAUGGGAAUAAUGUGCUUUUAAAUUGAUCACACUUAGUAAAUAAAUGCAAAUAGCACUUGAUCUAAUAUCAAUUUUAAUCAUAGAAGGUCAGGGCAUUAAGUUUUGUAUAUAUUCGACUGAAAUUCAGCCCCUGAACCAAUUGUUUAUCCUUGCAGAAAAAUCUGCUUUAAUAGAAUUGUUUAAUUAUAUUUAAUUUUAGUAAAAUAAUUAUGUAAAAGCCUUCAGCUCAUUUUAAAAUUAUUUUCUUCAUUUAUUUUCAAUAUUCAUUUAAAUUCCUGGAUUUUGUUUGAAGAGCCUGUUUUUACAGGCACCCAUGCAAUCAAAGAUCGGUACCUAGCUGAACAACAGGCUGUCUGGUCAGCUGGGCCCAGACGCCCAGUGACACUUCCUGGCCCAGAACCUUGGGGCAAAUGCUCAACUAGUCCUACCCGCAGGGUGGAGCCACACUGAACCUGCGGCUCCAUACUUUCUUGGCCAGGGGCCAAGAUAACCUCGUCAAUAAGGGACACAUUCCUGGGAUGCCCUAAGGUCUUUCUAUCUGUUCACAGAGGUCUUAUACUCACAAGUUCAAGCCAAGUGAGCGAUGUUCACAUUAUCAAACUCUGCAUCUCAAUAGAAACCCGGAUAGCAAAGUGUUGGUUUGCUUUUGAAGCAUUUGAACCAGCAACAGUCAUCAUUCGAGUUUCUGGCAUGUCUAUGGUGUGGAACCCUCAGUCUAUGAACAUCAUAACAGCACAUGAACCAGCAGCAGUCAUCAUUCGAGUUUCUGACAUGUCUAUGGUGUGGAACCCUCAGUCUAUGAACAUCAUAACAGCACAUGAACCAGCAGCAGUCAUCAUCUCAAGAUUCUGGUAUAUCCAAGGUACAGAACACUCAGUCUAUGAAUAUCAUAACAGCACAUGAAACAGCAGCAGUCAUCAUCUCAAGAUUCUGGUAUAUCCAAGGUACAGGACCCUCAGUCUAUGAACAUCAUAACAGCACAUGCACCAGCAGCAGUCAUCGUCUCAAGAUUCUGGUAUAUCCAAGGUACAUGACCCUCAGUCUAUGAACAUCAUAACAGCACAUGAACCAGCAGCAGUCAUCAUUGGAGUUUCUGACAUGUCUAUGGUGUGGAACCCUCAGUCUAUGAACAUCAUAACAGCACAUGAAUCAGCAGCAGUCAUCAUCUCAAGAUUCUGGUAUAUCCAAGGUACAGGACCCUUAGUCUGUACAGAUCUUGCAGAACAAACUUCAGAUGCAAUUUGAGGAAAUGAAACCAUCCAAUCAGAAACACAGCCUGUUGCAGCAAUUGUUAACAUAUUGACCCCAGUCAAACCUAAGAAGCUCAGAGUUACAUACUGUUUUAGAUGUGCUAGUCUUCACAUACCUUCUGGUUUGUUCAACACUUCCUCUGAAUCUUUGAAUGUUAUGACGGGUGAAAAUGAAUGACCUUGUUCAGAUCGAAAUGGCAGAAUGACACAUCACAACAAUUCAAGUGGAAAGCCACAAAGUCAUGUCAACAGCCACAUGUUGUAUGUUGCCAGCCAAGUUGUGUUAAAAAAUACAAUAGCUUACGUUUUAUGUUAUAUGUGACCAACCAUGUUAUAUUCAUACAAAAACAAUACUUUAUGUUUUAUGGGAAUUGUUAUGCUGUCAGUCUUUACGUUGAAAUAUUGUGUUCAAUAUAGCAUGUUAAGUAUUUUAAAAGCACGCAUAUUGCACGUUUAUGCAAUCUCUUUGUCUAUAUUAUGAUAUCACUACAUAUUGUGAUCCUGAUAAUGGUAAACUAAUGGGAAAUACACUUUUAUCAAAGACUUUCAAAGUGUGACAAAGCUGUUUUAAUGAGGCUGGUAACUUGGACAACAUUUAAAAAAUAUUGGAGUAUUUUCAUGUUAUAAAACAUGUUUCAGUUUUCAGUUUUUUACCCAUAUUAUAGAUAAGCUAGAUAAAAGUAGUGUUAAGAAAGGUUUAGAAGUUUUACGCUUCAGCUUUUUCUGUUUAUCAAUCUUUCUAAAAACAAUACUUAAAAUAUCCAUUAAAAAUCAAGAAUAAAAUUCAAAAAAUGAAAAAAAAAGUAACUCUCAUUAAGGCUCG